rnacentral:rRNA from 1 species
UGGGGAAUCUUCCGCAAUGGACGAAAGUCUGACGGAGCAACGCCGCGUGAGUGAUGACGGCCUUCGGGUUGUAAAGCUCUGUUAAUCGGGACGAAUGGUUCUUGUGCGAAUAGUGCGAGGAUUUGACGGUACCGGAAUAGAAAGCCACGGCUAACUACGUGCCAGCAGCCGCGGUAAUACGUAGGUGGCAAGCGUUGUCCGGAAUUAUUGGGCGUAAAGCGCGCGCAGGCGGAUUGGUCAGUCUGUCUUAAAAGUUCGGGGCUUAACCCCGUGAUGGGAUGGAAACUGCCAAGCUAGAGUAUCGGAGAGGAAAGUGGAAUUCCUAGUGUAGCGGUGAAAUGCGUAGAUAUUAGGAAGAACACCAGUGGCGAAGGCGACUUUCUGGACGAAAACUGACGCUGAGGCGCGAAAGCCAGGGGAGCGAACGGG